rnacentral:rRNA from 1 species
AACGAACGCUGGCGGCGCGCCUAGCACAUGCAAGUCGAACGAGAAGGCGUAGCAAUACGCUUGUAGAGUGGCGAACGGGUGAGUAAUACGUGGGUGACCUACCCUCGAGUGGGGAAUAACCCGCCGAAAGGCGGGCUAAUGCCGCGUACGCUUCCGUCCUCACGGGGACGGAAGGAAAGCUGUACCGUGGGUACGGCGCUCAAGGAUGGGCUCACGUCCUAUCAGCUUGUUGGUAGGGUAACGGCCACCAAGGCUACGACGGGUAGCUGGUCUGAGAGGACGAUCAGCCACACUGGCACUGCGACACGGGCCAGACUCCUACGGGAGGCAGCAGUGAGGAAUAUUGCGCAAUGGGCGAAAGCCUGACGCAGCGACGCCGCGU